rnacentral:rRNA from 1 species
GACGUGGAAUUGUAAAUGCUAAUUUCGAUAUGGCUUUACCACAUGCAAUUCGAGGGGCAACAUGAUCUUACCUUGUUAAGGUCGAUGGCGACCGGCGCACGGGUGCGUAACGCGUAUGCAACUUGCCUUACAGAGGGGGAUAACCCGUUGAUUUACGGACUACUACCGCAUACCCUUGUAUUAUUGCAUGAUAUUACAAGGAAAUAUUUAUAGCUGUAAGAUAGGCAUGCGUCCCAUUAGCUUGUUGGUGAGGUAACGGCUCACCAAGGCGACGAUGGGUAGGGGAACUGAGAGGUUUAUCCCCCACACUGGUACUGAGACACGGACCAGACUCCUACGGGAGGCAGCAGUGAGGAAUAUUGGUCAAUGGGCGAGAGCCUGAACCAGCCAAGUCGCGUGAAGGAAGACUGUCCUAAGGAUUGUAAACUUCUUUUAUACGGGAAUAACGGGCGAUACGAGUAUUGCAUUGAAUGUACCGUAAGAAUAAGCAUCGGCUAACUCCGUGCCAGCAGCCGCGGUAAUACGGAGGAUGCGAGCGUUAUCCGGAUUUAUUGGGUUUAAAGGGUGCGCAGGCGGCCUGUCAAGUUCAGUGGUGAAAGGCAGGGGCUCAACCCCGGCAGUGCCGUUGAUACUGACGGGCUGGAAUGCGGUCGAGGCGGGCGG